GAAUGUGAGGGCGAUCUGGCUGCAACAUCUGUCACCCCAUUGAUAGCCAAGGUUGAUUCAGCUGAUCUGGCUGGCUAGGUGGGUGUCCCCUUCCUCCCUCACUGCUACAUGUGCGUCCCUCCUGAAGCUGUGUGCGGGCUUAGUCAAAGAGGACGGACUUCCCCAAAUAGAGACGGACCGGUCUUCAGUCCAAGGUUUACGAGUAGCUGCACUCCCCUGCUAGGACCUCCAAACAAGCUCUCAAGACCCACUUCCUGGAUGGGAAGAAGGUCCAGGAGAAGAUUCAGACCCACCUGGGCACUGUGUGCACAGUCUAGU
rnacentral:snRNA from 1 species